UGCCCCACAGUUCCCCGCCCGGGAACAAGGAGCUGGUAUCAGGCACAUCCUAUUGAGCCCAUGACACCUUGCUUAGCCACACCCUCAAGGGAACUCAGCAGUGAUAGACAUUAAGCCAUAAGUGAAAACUUGACUUAGUUAAAGCUAAGAGGGCCGGUAAAACUCGUGCCAGCCACCGCGGUUAUACGAGAGGCCCAAGUUGACAAACACCGGCGUAAAGGGUGGUUAAGUUAAAACUCAUACUAAAGCCAAACAUCUUCAAGACUGUUAUACGCAACCGAAGACAGGAAGUUCAACCACGAAAGUGGCUUUAUCUGAUCUGAACCCACGAAAGCUAAGGAACAAACUGGGAUUAGAUACCCCACUAUGCCUAGCCCUAAACAUUGAUAGUACUACACAUCCACUAUCCGCCCGGGAACUACGAGCAAUAGCUUAAAACCCAAAGGACUUGGCGGUGCUUUAGAUCCACCUAGAGGAGCCUGUUCUAGAACCGAUAACCCCCGUUCAACCUCACCCUUCCUUGUUUAACCCGCCUAUAUACCGCCGUCGUCAGCUUACCCUGUGAGGGAUAAAUAGUAAGCAAGACUGGUACAGCCUAAAACGUCAGGUCGAGGUGUAGCGUAUGGGAGGGGGAAGAAAUGGGCUACAUUUCGUUACUACAGCGAAUACGAAUGAUGCACUGAAACGUACAUCUGAAGGAGGAUUUAGCAGUAGGCAG
rnacentral:rRNA from 1 species